rnacentral:misc_RNA from 1 species
GAUGAAGAACGCAGCGAAAUGCGAUAAGUAAUGUGAAUUGCAGAAUUCAGUGAAUCAUCGAAUCUUUGAACGCACAUUGCGCCCGCCAGUAUUCUGGCGGGCAUGCCUGUUCGAGCGUCAUUACAACCCUCAGGCCCCCGGGCCUGGCGUUGGGGAUCGGCGGAAGCCCCCUGUGGGCACACGCCGUCCCUCAAAUACAGUGGCGGUCCCGCCGCAGCUUCCAUUGCGUAGUAGCUAACACCUCGCAACUGGAGAGCGGCGCGGCCAUGCCGUAAAACACCCAACUUCUGAAUGUUGACCUCGAAUCAGGUAGGAAUACCCGCUGAACUUAAGCAUAUCAAUAAGGGAGGA